UACGUAGGGUGCAAGCGUUAAUCGGAAUUACUGGGCGUAAAGCGUGCGCAGGCGGUCUUGCAAGACAGAUGUGAAAUCCCCGGGCUCAACCUGGGAACUGCAUUUGUGACUGCAAGGCUGGAGUGCGGCAGAGGGGGAUGGAAUUCCUAGUGUAGCGGUGAAAUGCGUAGAUAUUAGGAAGAACACCAGUGGCGAAGGCGCUCUACUGGGCCAUUACUGACGCUGAUGGACGAAAGCUAGGGGAGCGAAAGGG
rnacentral:rRNA from 1 species